rnacentral:lncRNA from 1 species
CACAGGCACUUGUCUCAGAAUUUUUUCCACCUAUAUACCUUAAUAUAAUGUUAUAUUAAGGUAUAUAGGGGAAAAAAUUCUGAGACAAGUGCCUGUGUUUGCAUACAAGGAUCUGACAAAGCUCUUAUUGGAUGCACUAAUUACUAUGUCAAUCAUUGAACCAGAUGCAUCGCAGGGCACAGCUUUAUACGACUGCAAAAAUAAAAAAUCUAAAUACAUGGUUAGAUUUAGCAUAUCAAAGAACCCCAUUCAUUCAAAUUUUGUUACAAAGAUAAAUUUUGGAACCCAAUUUGGACCAACUUGAAAACUUGGCCCAUAAUAAAAAAUCUUCAUACAUGUUAAGAUUCAGCAUAUCAAACCCCAAGAAUUAAAUUUUUGUCAAAAUCAAACAAAAGUAAAUUUUGGAUUCUUUGGACCUUUAAUAAUUAAUGUAGACCAAUUAGAAAACAGGACCAAAAACUUAAAAUCUAACAGAGUUAGAUUCAGCAUAUUAAAGAACCCCAAUAUGUAAUUCGAUUAUUGAUGAAAUCAAACAAAUUUUUAUUUUGGACCCUUUGGACCACAAUUUAAAAAUGUGGACCAAAUUCCAAAAACUUAAUACACGGUUAGAUUCAGCAUAUUUAAGAACCCCAAGAAUUCAAGAAUAAAACCCCAUUGAAAAUGGUCAAGAAAUAAGCAAUUUAUACAAAUUAUUAGAAAAGUAUUCUUUUUGGCCCCUCAUUCCUAAACAGUUUGGGCCAUAACCCUCAAAAUCAAUCCCAAGAUUCAAUUUUUGUUAAAAUCAAAAAAAGUUUUUUUUGGACCCUUUGGACCUCAUGUGGACCAAUUUAAAAAUGUGGACUAAAUUCCAAAAACUAAAUACACGGUAAGAUUCAGCAUAUUUAAAUGAACCCCAAGAAUUCAAGAAUAAACCCCCAUUGAAAAUGGUCAAGAAAUAAGCAAUUUAUACAAACUAUUAGAAAAGUACAAUGUAUUGUUUUUGGCCCCUCAUUCCUAAACAGUUUGGGCCAUAACCACCAAAAUCAAUCCCAACCUUCCUUGUUUUGUAUGGAACCUUGUGGUACAAUUUCAGAAAGAUCCAUACACUUAAACACAAGUAAUUGUCUGGAAACUAGAAAAAUACUUAUUUUUACCCCUUUGGGGCCCCUUGUUCCUAAACUGUUGGAACUAUAACCCCCAAAAUCAAUCUUAACCUUCCUAUUGUGGUUUCAAACCUUGUGUUUAAAUUUCAUAGAGAUCUAUUCACUUUAACCAAAGUUAUUGUCCGGAAACUAAAUGCGUCUUCGGAUGACGACGCAGACGAUGACAACAUGAUAAAUACGUAUAAAAACUCUUUAAAUUUGUUAAGGUAUAUAAUUACUAUAAAGGUCAAACUAUAAGCACAAAUAGUCCUUUCACCUACAUACUGAAUAUAGAUAAAUUAAUGUUUCUUAAGUUUAAGUCUCAAAAAAGUUAACAUUAUUAAAGAUAUUACUUUUAUUAAAUUC